UACGGAGGAUGCAAGCGUUAUCCGGAAUUAUUGGGCGUAAAGCGUCCGCAGGUGGCCCUUCAAGUCUGUCGUCAAAGACCGGGGCUUAACCCUGGAAAGGCGAUGGAAACUGAAAGGCUAGAGAGAGGUAGGGGUAGAGGGAAUUCCCAGUGUAGCGGUGAAAUGCGUAGAGAUCCGGAGGAAUACCUGAGGCGAAGGCGGCCAGCUGGGCUUGAUCUGACGCUGAGGUGCGAAAGCGUAGGGAGCGAACAGG
rnacentral:rRNA from 1 species